GAAGGUGAGUAGUAUGGUGGUGGGGUUGAGCUGUAGACGUAAGGAGGUGGUGGAGAUUUGUAUUCAACCUUAGGGGAAGGUGAGUAGUAUGGUGGUGGUGGAGAAUUAUAAACGUAUGGAGGUGGUGGAGACUUGUAUGCGGGCUUUGGAGAAGGUGAAUAGUAUGGUGGUGGUGGAGAACUGUAGACGUAAGGAGGUGGUGGAGACUUAUAGUCUACCUUGGGAGAAGGUGAGUAGUAUGGCGGUGGUGGUGGAGAAUUGUAGACGUAUGGGGGUGGUGGUGGGGAGCUGUAAACAUAAGGGGGUGGUGGAGAUUUGUAGUCCACCUUUGGAGAAGGUGAGUAGUAUGGUGGUGGUGGUGGAGAGUUGUAGACGUAAGGAGGUGGUGGUGGGGAACUGUAGACAUAAGGAGGUGGUGGAGAUUUGUAGUCCACCUUUGGAGAAGGUGAAUAGUACGGUGGUGGUGGAGAACUGUAAACGUAUGGGGGUGGUGGAGACUUAUAGUCUACCUUAGGAGAUGGCGAAUAAUAAGGUGGAGGUGGUGGAGAACUGUAUACAUAAGGAGG
rnacentral:lncRNA from 1 species